rnacentral:rRNA from 1 species
UACAGAGGGUGCGAGCGUUGUCCGGAAUCACUGGGCGUAAAGGGUGAGUAGGUGGCUUGUUAAGCGUGUGGUGAAAUCCUGAGGCUUAACCUCGGAACUGCAUUCGAUACUGCGGCGCUUUGAGGACUGGAGAGGAGACUGGAAUUCAUGGUGUAGCAGUGAAAUGCGUAGAGAUCAUGAGGAAGACCAGUGGCGAAGGCGGGGUCUCUGGACAGUUCCUGACACUGAGGCACGAAGGCCAGGGGAGCAAACGGG